AGAGUUUGAUCCUGGCUCAGGAUGAACGCUGGCGGCGUGCCUAAUACAUGCAAGUCGAGCGAAUUGAUUAAGAGCUUGCUCUUAUGAAGUUAGCGGCGGACGGGUGAGUAACACGUGGGUAACCUGCCCAUAAGACUGGGAUAACUCCGGGAAACCGGGGCUAAUACCGGAUAACAUUUUGAACUGCAUGGUUCGAAAUUGAAAGGCGGCUUCGGCUGUCACUUAUGGAUGGACCCGCGUCGCAUUAGCUAGUUGGUGAGGUAAUGGCUCACCAAGGCAACGAUGCGUAGCCGACCUGAGAGGGUGAUCGGCCACACUGGGACUGAGACACGGCCCAGACUCCUACGGGAGGCAGCAGUAGGGAAUCUUCCGCAAUGGACGAAAGUCUGACGGAGCAACGCCGCGUGAGUGAUGAAGGCUUUCGGGUCGUAAAACUCUGUUGUUAGGGAAGAACAAGUGCUAGUUGAAUAAGCUGGCACCUUGACGGUACCUAACCAGAAAGCCACGGCUAACUACGUGCCAGCAGCCGCGGUAAUACGUAGGUGGCAAGCGUUAUCCGGAAUUAUUGGGCGUAAAGCGCGCGCAGGUGGUUUCUUAAGUCUGAUGUGAAAGCCCACGGCUCAACCGUGGAGGGUCAUUGGAAACUGGGAGACUUGAGUGCAGAAGAGGAAAGUGGAAUUCCAUGUGUAGCGGUGAAAUGCGUAGAGAUAUGGAGGAACACCAGUGGCGAAGGCGACUUUCUGGUCUGUAACUGACACUGAGGCGCGAAAGCGUGGGGAGCAAACAGGAUUAGAUACCCU
rnacentral:rRNA from 1 species